rnacentral:rRNA from 1 species
GACGAACGCUGGCGGCAUGCCUAACACAUGCAAGUCGAACGAAGGCUUCGGCCUUAGUGGCGCACGGGUGCGUAACGCGUGGGAAUCUGCCCUUGGGUUCGGAAUAACAGUUAGAAAUGACUGCUAAUACCGGAUGAUGUCGUGAGACCAAAGAUUUAUCGCCCAAGGAUGAGCCCGCGUAGGAUUAGCUAGUUGGUGGGGUAAAGGCCCACCAAGGCGACGAUCCUUAGCUGGUCUGAGAGGAUGAUCAGCCACACUGGGACUGAGACACGGCCCAGACUCCUACGGGAGGCAGCAGUGGGGAAUAUUGGACAAUGGGCGAAAGCCUGAUCCAGCAAUGCCGCGUGAGUGAUGAAGGCCUUAGGGUUGUAAAGCUCUUUUACCCGGGAUGAUAAUGACAGUACCGGGAGAAUAAGCUCCGGCUAACUUCGUGCCAGCCGCCGCCGUAACAC